AUACGUAGGGUGCGAGCGUUAAUCGGAAUUACUGGGCGUAAAGCGUGCGCAGGCGGUUAUGUAAAACAGAUGUGAAAUCCCCGGGCUCAACCUGGGAACUGCAUUUGUGACUGCAUGGCUAGAGUACGGUAGAGGGGGAUGGAAUUCCGCGUGUAGCAGUGAAAUGCGUAGAUAUGCGGAGGAACACCGAUGGCGAAGGCAAUCCCCUGGACCUGUACUGACGCUCAUGCACGAAAGCGUGGGGAGCAAACAGGAUUAGAUACCCUGGUAGUCCACGCCCUAAACGAUGUCAACUGGUUGUUGGGAAUUAGUUUUCUCAGUAACGAAGCUAACGCGUGAAGUUGACCGCCUGGGGAGUACGGCCGCAAGGUUGAA
rnacentral:rRNA from 1 species